rnacentral:rRNA from 1 species
AGAGUUUGAUCAUGGCUCAGGAUGAACGCUAGCGGCAGGCUAAUACAUGCAAGUCGAACGGUUUUACAGCAAUGUAAGAUAGUGGCGCACGGGUGCGUAACACGUAUGGACCCUACCUUAUAGACGGGGAUAGCCUUUGGAAACGGAGAUUAAUACCCGAUAGUAAUAUGAGAUGGCAUCAUUUUAUAUUUAAAGAUUUAUCGCUAUAAGUUGGUCAUGCGUCCAAUUAGUUAGUUGGCGGGGUAACGGCUCACCAAGACGAUGAUUGGUAGGGGAACUGAGAGGUUAAUCCCCCACACUGGCACUGAGAUACGGGCCAGACUCCUACGGGAGGCAGCAGUAGGGAAUAUUGGGCAAUGGAGGCAACUCUGACCCAGCCAUGCCGCGUGCAGGAUGAAGGCGUUAUGCGUUGUAAACUGCUUUUAUAUAGGAAGAAAUAGACCUUGCGAGGUAAGUUGACGGUACUAUAUGAAUAAGCACCGGCUAACUCCGUGCCAGCAGCCGCGGUAAUACGGAGGGUGCAAGCGUUGUCCGGAUUUAUUGGGUUAAAAGGGUGCGUAGGCGGUUUAUUAAGUCAGUGGUGAAAGACGGUCGCUCAACGAUUGCAGUGCCAUUGAUACUGAUAGACUUGAGUGGGAUUGAGGUAGCUGGAA